GUGCUCACUUUGGCAGCACAUAUACUAAAAUUGGAACGGUAUAAAAAAGAUUAGCAUGGCCCCUGUGCAAGGAUGACAGGCAAAUUCAUGAAGCGUUCCACAUUUUA
rnacentral:snRNA from 1 species